GUGGCUUCCUGUGGGCGAGAUCGUGGUAGCAAGGAGGCGUUCGGUGAGGCUUGUGGUGUGUUUUGUGGGGUUUGGAAGGUGUUUGGUGUGCUGGUCAGCAUGUCU